GUCUACUAAUUAUAGACCUGUAUGAAAGGCAAAAUGAGGGCCUAACUGUCUCUUAUAAUCAAUCAAUUAAACUGAUCUCCCAGUAAAAAAGCUGGGAUAACCCCAUAAGACCAGAAGACCCUGUGAAGCUUAAACUAAACUAUUAAAUCUAAUAAUAGAUACUUUCGGUUGGGGCGACCUUGGAAAAAAAAAGAACUUCCAAACACAUAAUUUCCCACACUAACAGGCCUACAAGCCACAAAUACGACCCAGCAAAGCUGAUUAAUGAACCAAGUUACUCCAGGGAUAACAGCGCAAUCUUCUUCAAGAGCCCAUAUCAAAAAGAAGGUUUACGACCUCGAUGUUGGAUCAGGACAUCCUAAUGGCGCA
rnacentral:rRNA from 1 species